rnacentral:rRNA from 1 species
AUUGAACGCUGGCGGCAGGCCUAACACAUGCAAGUCGAGCGGAGCGGCGGACGGGUGAGUAAUGCCUAGGAAUCUGCCUGGUAGUGGGGGAUAACGUCCGGAAACGGGCGCUAAUACCGCAUACUAUCAGAUGAGCCUAGGUCGGAUUAGCUAGUUGGUGGGGUAAGGGCCUACCAAGGCGACGAUCCGUAACUGGUCUGAGAGGAUGAUCAGUCACCCUGGAACUGAGACACGGUCCAGGCGCCUACGGUAGGCAGCAGGGGGGAAGAUUUGACAAUGGGGCGAAGCCUGAUCCAGCCAUGCCGCGUGUGUGAAGAAAGUUUUCGGAUUGUUAAGUACUUUCAGCGGGGAGGCGUUACCCGCAGAAGAAGCACCGGCUAACGCCGUGCCAGCAGCCGCGGUAAUAC